rnacentral:rRNA from 1 species
UACGGGGGGGGCAAGCGUUGUUCGGAAUUACUGGGCGUAAAGGGCUCUUAGGCGGCCCACUAAGUCAGACGUGAAAUCCCUCGGCUUAACCGGGGAACUGCAUCUGAUACUGGAUGGCUUGAGUUCGGGAGAGGGAUGCGGAAUUCCAGGUGUAGCGGUGAAAUGCGUAGAUAUCUGGAGGAACACCGGUGGCGAAGGCGGCAUCCUGGACCGACACUGACGCUGAGGAGCGAAAGCCAGGGGAGCAAACGGG